rnacentral:rRNA from 1 species
GACGAACGCUGGCGGCGUGCUUAACACAUGCAAGUCGUACGGUAAGGCCCUUUCGGGGGUACACGAGUGGCGAACGGGUGAGUAACACGUGAGUAACCUGCCCACAACUUUGGGAUAACGCUAGGAAACUGGUGCUAAUACUGGAUAUGUGCUCCUGCUGCAUGGUGGGGGUUGGAAAGCUCCGGCGGUUGUGGAUGGACUCGCGGCCUAUCAGCUUGUUGGUGGGGUAGUGGCCUACCAAGGCGGCGACGGGUAGCCGGCCUGAGAGGGUGACCGGCCACACUGGGACUGAGAUACGGCCCAGACUCCUACGGGAGGCAGCAGUGGGGAAUAUUGCACAAUGGGCGCAAGCCGGAUGCAGCAACGCCGCGUGCGGGAUGACGGCCUUCGGGUUGUAAACCGCUUUCAGCAGGGACGAAGCUUUUUGUGACGGUACCUGCAGAAGAAGCACCGGCUAACUACGUG